rnacentral:misc_RNA from 1 species
UUGAAAAUGGAAGUGCUUUUACUUCCCUGUAACAAUUUGGAAAGGAAAAAAAAAUACUCUGUUUUUGGAUGGUUCAGUUUGAAUUAAUGGGGAAGUUUUAGGUUUUAGUAGCAGAGAGAUAAAGGGGUUGUGGGUGGAAGUUGGAAUAUUUAUUGGGUUAGUGGAAAAGAGGGAUCUUUGAAUGUAAAAAACUUCAAAUUGUGUUUGAGAUAGGAUGGGUGAGUGGGUUGAACCCAGAAAGUCUAGAAAUGGGGAAAUAUACUCUGAAAGAAGUAAGAGGUAGCAUGUGUUAGGCGCAAUGCGAUAAAUGCUUACAAGUUGAAUGGGAUGUCAGUUAAUAAUCGAUUUAUGAAGAAGGGAUGAAUUUUUAAUGCAAAAAUUGACAUGCCUUGUGAUAUUAAGCAAGAAUUGACUGUGAUUGAUGAAGGAUCAGAAGGCAGAGGUUGAAAGGAUAAAGAUUUGGUAAGUGAGUUUGUCUAGGUCAAUUGAUAAAACUACGAGAGAUGCUGUUUGGUGUUUCUUCUUUAUUGUGUUUCAAAUUGGGCAAGGAGUGGACGAAUAUCUUUUCCAUUGACAAAAAUGGUGGGAAAUGGGAAUAGUGC